rnacentral:rRNA from 1 species
UACAGAGGUCUCAAGCGUUGUUCGGAUUCAUUGGGCGUAAAGGGUGCGUAGGUGGCGCCGUAAGUCGGGUGUGAAAUUUCGGAGCUUAACUCCGAAACUGCAUUCGAUACUGCGGUGCUUGAGGACUGGAGAGGAGACUGGAAUUCAUGGUGUAGCAGUGAAAUGCGUAGAGAUCAUGAGGAAGACCAGUGGCGAAGGCGGGUCUCUGGACAGUUCCUGACACUGAGCACGAAGGCCAGGGGAGCAAACGGG